UGGGGAUGUGGCUCAGUGGUAGAGCAUUUGCCUGACAUGCAAGAGGCCCUGGGUUUGUUCCCCAGCACCACAA